rnacentral:rRNA from 1 species
UACGGAGGGGGCUAGCGUUGUUCGGAAUUACUGGGCGUAAAGCGCGCGUAGGCGGACCUGCAAGUCGGGGGUGAAAGCCCGAGGCUCAACCUCGGAACUGCCUUCGAUACUGCGGGUCUCGAGUCCGGGAGAGGUGAGUGGAAUUCCUAGUGUAGAGGUGAAAUUCGUAGAUAUUAGGAAGAACACCGAUGGCGAAGGCAGCCUCCUGGGCCAAUACUGACGCUCAUGCACGAAAGCGUGGGGAGCAAACAGG